AACAAACUCAAGAGGAGGUACAUAAGAGGAAUCUCAGGGAUGAACUUGAGGAACGUGAACGCAAGAACUUCUCAUCCAAGGAUAAGUCCUAUGUUGGUAGGAUGAUGAUGUUGUAUUCAAGAACAAGAUCGUGGAGAGACCAAGAAUCCAAAAAGGUUCAUCAACAACACCAUUAAGAGUGAUUGCCAUCGCAAGUUUCUGCAUAGAACAAUUAGGAAGUUGAAUUAGCAGUUGAUGGUUGUGGAGAAGAGGAUGGACCCUUGUGGCGAGAGAAGAGGCGUAUCCAAGGAGAAAUUGUUGGAAAACGGGAAAAAGAAGAUUAAGAAGCUGCUUGACUCGAAUUUUCUGUAUAUGCCAAAGUCUUACGUGAUUGCUACAGAAGACAUGACUGAAGCAAAAUACUAGAAGUGGGACAAUGAACCCGCACCACAUGUUUGGGAUGGUGAUCUCAUCUCCUGACUUUAUUCGUUUCAUUGGUGUGAAGGUAGUGGAAGCGGAGCAGUAUGCCCCUGAUGUGGCUUGAAGGGAGCCUUGGAUGCCAGAUCAUGCCAGGUGGCAUGCUUUUUUCUGAUGGGGAUGGGUGUCAGGGGCUUACAUCCAUUGGCUGGGUG